GAUGAACGCUGGCGGCGUGCCUAAUACAUGCAAGUCGAGCGAACAGACGAGGAGCUUGCUCCUCUGACGUUAGCGGCGGACGGGUGAGUAACACGUGGAUAACCUACCUAUAAGACUGGGAUAACUUCGGGAAACCGGAGCGAAUACCGGAUAAUAUAUUGAACGGCAUGGUUCAAUAGUGAAAGACGGUUUUGCUGUCACUUAUAGAUGGAUCCGCGCCGCAUUAGCUAGUUGGUAAGGUAACGGCUUACCAAGGCAUCGAUGCGUAGCCGACCUGAGAGGGUGAUCGGCCACACUGGAACUGAGACACGGUCCAGACUCCUACGGGAGGCAGCAGUAGGGAAUCUUCCGCAAAGGGCGAAAGCUUGACGGAGCAACGCCGCGUGAGUGAUGAAGGUCUUCGGAUCGUAAAACUCUGUUAUUAGGGAAGAACAAAUGUGUAAGUAACUAUGCACGUCUUGACGGUACCUAAUCAGAAAGCCACGGCUAACUACGUG
rnacentral:rRNA from 1 species